ACGGGUGAGUAACGCGUGGGAACGUACCUUUUGGUUCGGAACAACUGAGGGAAACUUCAGCUAAUACCGGAUAAGCCCUUACGGGGAAAGAUUUAUCGCCGAAAGAUCGGCCCGCGUCUGAUUAGCUAGUUGGUGAGGUAAGAGCUCACCAAGGCGACGAUCAGUAGCUGGUCUGAGAGGAUGAUCAGCCACACUGGGACUGAGACACGGCCCAGACUCCUACGGGAGGCAGCAGUGGGGAAUAUUGGACAAUGGGCGCAAGCCUGAUCCAGCCAUGCCGCGUGAGUGAUGAAGGCCCUAGGGUUGUAAAGCUCUUUUGUGCGGGAAGAUAAUGACGGUACCGCAAGAAUAAGCCCCGGCUAACUUCGUGCCAGCAGCCGCGGUAAUACGAAGGGGGCUAGCGUUGCUCGGAAUCACUGGGCGUAAAGGGUGCGUAGGCGGGUCUUUAAGUCAGGGGUGAAAUCCUGGAGCUCAACUCCAGAACUGCCUUUGAUACUGAGGAUCUUGAGUUCGGGAGAGGUGAGUGGAACUGCGAGUGUAGUAGGUGAAAUUCGUAGA
rnacentral:rRNA from 1 species